rnacentral:rRNA from 1 species
GGGACACGUGGUAUCCUGUCUGAAUAUGGGGGGACCAUCCUCCAAGGCUAAAUACUCCUGACUGACCGAUAGUGAACCAGUACCGUGAGGGAAAGGCGAAAAGAACCCCGGCGAGGGGAGUGAAAAAGAACCUGAAACCGUGUACGUACAAGCAGUGGGAGCACAGGUUUACCUGUGUGACUGCGUACCUUUUGUAUAAUGGGUCAGCGACUUAUAUUCUGUAGCAAGGUUAACCGUAUAGGGGAGCCGGAGGGAAACCGAGUCUUAAUUGGGCGUUAAGUUGCAGGGUAUAGACCCGAAACCCGGUGAUCUAGCCAUGGGCAGGUUGAAGGUUGGGUAACACUAACUGGAGGACCGAACCGACUAAUGUUGAAAAAUUAGCGGAUGACCUGUGGCUGGGGGUGAAAGGCCAAUCAAACCGGGAGAUAGCUGGUUCUCCCCGAAAGCUAUUUAGGUAGCGCCUCGUGAAUUCAUCUCCGGGGGUAGAGCACUGUUUCGGCUAGGGGGCCAUCCCGGCUUACCAACCCGAUGCAAACUGCGAAUACCGGAGAAUGUUAUCACGGGAGACACACGGCGGGUGCUAACGUCCGUCGUGAAGAGGGAAACAACCCAGACCGCCAGCUAAGGUCCCAAAGUCAUGGUUAAGUGGGAAACGAUGUGGGAAGGCCCAGACAGCCAGGAUGUUGGCUUAGAAGCAGCCAUCAUUUAAAGAAAGCGUAAUAGCUCACUGGUCGAGUCGGCCUGCGCGGAAGAUGUAACGGGGCUAAACCAUGCACCGAAGCUGCGGCAGCGACGCUUAUGCGUUGUUGGGUAGGGGAGCGUUCUGUAAGCCUGUGAAGGUGUGUCGUGAGGCAUGCUGGAGGUAUCAGAAGUGCGAAUGCUGACAUAAGUAACGAUAAAGCGGGUGAAAAGCCCGCUCGCCGGAAGACCAAGGGUUCCUGUCCAACGUUAAUCGGGGCAGGGUGAGUCGACCCCUAAGGCGAGGCCGAAAGGCGUAGUCGAUGGGAAACGGGUUAAUAUUCCCGUACUUGGUGUUACUGCGAAGGGGGGACGGAGAAGGCUAUGUUGGCCGGGCGACGGUUGUCCCGGUUUAAGCGUGUAGGUGUGUGUUCCAGGUAAAUCCGGUUCACUUUAACACUGAGGCGUGACGACGAGGCACUACGGUGCUGAAGCAACAAAUGCCCUGCUUCCAGGAAAAGCCUCUAAGCAUCAGGUAACAUCAAAUCGUACCCCAAACCGACACAGGUGGUCAGGUAGAGAAUACCAAGGCGCUUGAGAGAACUCGGGUGAAGGAACUAGGCAAAAUGGUGCCGUAACUUCGGGAGAAGGCACGCUGACACGUAGGUGAAGUGAUUUACUCAUGGAGCUGAAGUCAGUCGAAGAUACCAGCUGGCUGCAACUGUUUAUUAAAAACACAGCACUGUGCAAACACGAAAGUGGACGUAUACGGUGUGACGCCUGCCCGGUGCCGGAAGGUUAAUUGAUGGGGUCAGCGCAAGCGAAGCUCCUGAUCGAAGCCCCGGUAAACGGCGGCCGUAACUAUAACGGUCCUAAGGUAGCGAAAUUCCUUGUCGGGUAAGUUCCGACCUGCACGAAUGGCGUAAUGAUGGCCAGGCUGUCUCCACCCGAGACUCAGUGAAAUUGAACUCGCUGUGAAGAUGCAGUGUACCCGCGGCAAGACGGAAAGACCCCGUGAACCUUUACUAUAGCUUGACACUGAACAUUGAGCCUUGAUGUGUAG